rnacentral:rRNA from 1 species
UGGGGAAUAUUGGACAAUGGGGGCAACCCUGAUCCAGCCAUGCCGCGUGUGUGAAGAAGGCCUUUUGGUUGUAAAGCACUUUAAGCAGGGAGGAGAGGCUAAUGGUUAAUACCCAUUAGAUUAGACGUUACCUGCAGAAUAAGCACCGGCUAACUCUGUGCCAGCAGCCGCGGUAAUACAGAGGGUGCGAGCGUUAAUCGGAAUUACUGGGCGUAAAGCGAGUGUAGGUGGCUCAUUAAGUCACAUGUGAAAUCCCCGGGCUUAACCUGGGAACUGCAUGUGAUACUGGUGGUGCUAGAAUAUGUGAGAGGGAAGUAGAAUUCCAGGUGUAGCGGUGAAAUGCGUAGAGAUCUGGAGGAAUACCGAUGGCGAAGGCAGCUUCCUGGCAUAAUAUUGACAC